rnacentral:rRNA from 1 species
UACGUAGGGUGCGAGCGUUAAUCGGAAUUACUGGGCGUAAAGCGUGCGCAGGCGGUUCGUUGUGUCCGUCGUGAAAGCCCCGGGCUUAACCUGGGAACUGCGAUGGAAACUAGCGAGCUGGAGUGUGGCAGAGGGGGGUGGAAUUCCGCGUGUAGCAGUGAAAUGCGUAGGGAUGCGGAGGAACACCGAUGGCGAAGGCAGCCCCCUGGGCUAACACUGACGCUCAGGCACGAAAGCGUGGGGAGCAAACAGG